AUGUCUGUCUCUCUCUUCUCUUUCCCUCCCUAUCUCUUUCUCUCUCCCAGUCUCACGCUCUUCUCCCUCUCCCACUUCCCUUCUCUCUCCCCUCUCCUCUUUCCCUGCUUCCCUCUGUCUCUUUUGUAUGUCUUCCUCCUUCCUCUCCCUUCUCGUCUCCCUCUCGUCUCCCUCUCUCCUCUCUCUCUCUCUCUCUCUCUCCUCUCUCUUUCCUCUUUCUCUCUCUCUCUCUCUCUCUCUCUCUCUCUCUCUCUCUCUCUCUCUCUCUCUCUCUCUCUCUCCCUGAAUCCAUCAAUCUAUCUCUCUUCCCUCUCCAUUUCUGUCUCCUUGUCUCCCAGUUUCUCUCACCCUGUCCCUCAGUCUCCUUUCCUCUCCCUCCAGCCGCCCGCCUCACGUCCCCCUUCCCCGCCUCCCAGCCCCGCCUGCUGUCUCGGACACCCUGCUGGGUUCUUACCCCGGUUGCCCGGGUAACCACCCCCCCCACUCUGGUCACCUCCACCCUAUCUCUCCCGCCCCCCGCCCUCCCACCACCUUCCACUACCCUCCAUCCACCUUCCUCCAAUUUUUCCCAAGAGCCAAUGGGAACACUGUUGCCAGGUGGAAUGCUCAUUUGAAUCAGCCAAUCCCAGUACCCAUCCUCUUGCUCUGCCUUAUAUGGGUAUGUGAGCGGGGCCAGUCCCCCUCCCCCCUCUCCUCCAAACCCUUGGGGGCUUUGGCCCCCAAUUACUCGCCCCAACACACACUCCUGAUUAAGGACCCCUUCUCUCCGUCCCCCACGGGGGGGAUUUAGUCCCCAUUUCUCCCCUUGGGGCUCUCUGCGGGAGCUGUAGGGUGUGGGUUGGGCCCCCGGGGCGGGAAUGGGAAUGGGGUGUGAUUGGGGAAGGGGCGGAGGGGGCUGGGAUUUUUGCCCAGGGAGGGGUGUCUGGGAGCCGAGGCAGCUGCAGUGGAAAAUUCCAGGGAGAUGGAAGCAAAGUGGAGAAGCCGACACUGGGAAUGCUGCCCCCCAGGCCUCCUAGAGCCCCGGAGAUUCAGGGAACUGGGACACCAGGGUUCCAGGGGAGAAGAAACGAAACUAAGAAUCUGGAAACCCGGGUUUCAUCCCAUUUCUGGGAUGCUGCGAGGAGCGCUGCCCUCCUCUACCUGAGCUAACGGGCUGCAGUCACCUGAAUGCAUGGCCUCCAGAGAAAGGGGGUCUGAAGGGCCGUAGGGCAAAGGUUUGGGGGGGUGGGAGCUGCAGCCCCAGCCCGAAGGAUGCCUUCGCGGAUGAUCAGCCAUUUCCGGGUCCGCGUAAGACCUCCACUUCAAUUUUUAUUCCACCCUUCUCCGCAAAGGUCAUGGGACUGGGUAUAUCUAUCCUUAAGCAGGACUGGGUAUAUAACAUGGUCACAAGGCUGCUCUGUUCCAUAGACUGGCUAUUUCUAAGACUCUUACUAAACUAGACUACUCUGAAUAUAAUAUACUCUCCUACUGGGAUCAUCCCCCUAGAGAGAGACUCGGAUCUUGUGAAGAAAACUGUAUUUUUUCUCAUACCCUUCAGAAGGUGGUGAGGAGAAGAAAAAUGGAAAGGCAACAGAAAUUUCCAUGGGACUGCUGGGUGGCCAUUAUUCCCCACCUAAAUUAGUCUCCCUUUCCCUGAUGAAAUCUUUCCCUCCGUAGCUUCUCUUUCUUUUGUUCUUUUUAGGUUUUGUUGCUUAAAUUUAUUUGUUAAGAUAUUCCUGGUCCCAAUUCUGGCCUGGAAAAAAAGAGUUGGAAGCUAGAUUCCUCGGGAGUUCACCUAUUUUCCUUCAUCAGGGUUUCCCCUUCAACGUUUCAUUAGCUGUUAUUCUUUUUUCUUUUCAGAUAUCAAGCUAAAGGAUAAUUGAGGGAGAUGGAGCUCUUUUUGAGGCCCAAACGACUCUAAUGGUUCUAGAGAGUGGGUUGCCUUACUAAGGAGUACUCAAUAAAUGACAAUUCAUCACAACA
ensembl:lncRNA